GAUGAACGCUGGCGGCGUGCCUAAUACAUGCAAGUCGAGCGAACAGACGAGAAGCUUGCUCCUCUGACGUUAGCGGCGGACGGGUGAGUAACACGUGGAUAACCUACCUAUAAGACUGGGAUAACUUCGGGAAACCGGAGCUAAUACCGGAUAAUAUAUUGAACCGCAUGGUUCAAUAGUGAAAGACGGUUUUGCUGUCACUUAUAGAUGGAUCCGCGCCGCAUUAGCUAGUUGGUAAGGUAACGGCUUACCAAGGCAACGAUGCCUAGCCGACCUGAGAGGGUGAUCGGCCACACUGGAACUGAGACACGGUCCAGACUCCUACGGGAGGCAGCAGUAGGGAAUCUUCCGCAAUGGGCGAAAGCCUGACGGAGCAACGCCGCGUGAGUGAUGAAGGUCUUCGGAUCGUAAAACUCUGUUAUUAGGGAAGAACAAAUGUGUAAGUAACUAUGCACGUCUUGACGGUACCUAAUCAGAAAGCCACGGCUAACUACGUG
rnacentral:rRNA from 1 species